CACGUAGGAGCCAAGCGUUAUCCGAAUUCACUGGGCGUAAAGCGCGUGCAGGCGGCUCGGUAAGUUGGAUGUGAAAUCUCCUGGCUCAACUGGGAGGGGACGUUCAAUACUGUCGGGCUAGAGGACGGCAGAGGGAGGUGGAAUUCCCGGUGUAGUGGUGAAAUGCGUAGAUAUCGGGAGGAACACCAGUGGCGAAGGCGGCCUUCUGGGCCGUACCUGACGCUCAGACGCGAAAGCUAGGGGAGCGAACGGG
rnacentral:rRNA from 1 species